rnacentral:rRNA from 1 species
UACAGAGGUCUCAAGCGUUUGUUCGGAUUCAUUGGGCGUAAAGGGUGCGUAGGUGGCGCGGUAAGUCGGGUGUGAAAUUUCGGAGCUUAACUCCGAAACUGCAUUCGAUACUGCCGUGCUUGAGGACUGGAGAGGAGACUGGAAUUUACGGUGUAGCAGUGAAAUGCGUAGAGAUCGUAAGGAAGACCAGUGGCGAAGGCGGGUCUCUGGACAGUUCCUGACACUGAGGCACGAAGGCCCAGGGGGAGCAAAACGGGG